rnacentral:rRNA from 1 species
CAGUAGCCGCGGUAAUACGAAGGGUGCAAGCGUUACUCGGAAUUACUGGGCGUAAAGCGUGUGUAGGUGGUUGUUUAAGUCUGUCGUAAAAGCCCUGGGCUCAACCUGGGAAUUGCGAUGGAUACUGGGCGACUAGAGUGCGGUAGAGGAUAGUGGAAUUUCCGGUGUAGCAGUGAAAUGCGUAGAGAUCGGAAGGAACAUCUGUGGCGAAGGCGACUAUCUGGGCCAACACUGACACUGAGACACGAAAGCGGGGGAGCAAACAGGAUUAGAUACCCCGGUAGUCCCUGUCUCUUAUACA